rnacentral:rRNA from 1 species
AGAGCGUAUGGCGGAUGCCUAGGCACAGAGAGGCGAAGAAGGACGCAGCAAACAGCGAAAUGCGACGGGGAGCAGUAAGCAUGCAACGAUCCGUCGAUGUCCGAAUGGGGGAACCCAUCCGGGAUAGAGCCCGGAUAUCCUGCAGUGAACAGAUAGCUGCAGAGAGGCGAGACUCAGGGAACUGAAACAUCUAAGUACCUGAAGGAAGAGAAAAUAAACGAAUGAUUCCCUAAGUAGCGGCGAGCGAAAGGGGAAGAGCCCAAACCGAUCUUAGGAUCGGGGUUGUAGGACUGUCGGCAAAGAGCAAGAAAUCAUUAUAGGCGAACGGAAUGGGAAGUCCGGCGAAACAGGGUGACAGCCCCGUAGCCGAAAUAGUGAAGAAGCACGAGACAGCACCUGAGUACGGCGGGACACGAGGAAUCCUGUCGGAAUCCACCAGGACCAUCUGGUAAGGCUAAAUACUCCUCUGUGACCGAUAGUGAACCAGUACCGUGAGGGAAAGGUGAAAAGAACCCCGGGAGGGGAGUGAAAGAGAACCUGAAACCAUAUGCCUACAAGAAGUCAGAGCCCGUUAAAGGGUGAUGGCGUGCCUUUUGUAGAAUGAACCGGCGAGUUACUGUAUGGAGCGAGGUUAAGCAGGAUAUGCGGAGCCGAAGCGAAAGCGAGUCUUAAGAGGGCGAAAGUUGCAUGCAGUAGACCCGAAACCGGGUGAUCUAGCCAUGACCAGGUUGAAGUUGGGGUAAAACCCGAUGGAGGACCGAACCGACCCCCGUUGAAACGUUGGCGGAUGAGUUGUGGCUAGGGGUGAAAUUCCAAUCGAACCCGGAGAUAGCUGGUUCUCCCCGAAAUAGCUUUAGGGCUAGCGUCGAGGUAAAGAGUUGCGUGAAGGUAGAGCACUGAAUAUGUGAUGGCCCCAUCUCGGGGUACUGAGCAUAAUCAAACUGCGAAUGUCACGGAAACAUACUCGGCAGUCAGACAGCGGGUGAUAAGGUCCGUUGUCAAGAGGGAAACAGCCCAGACCAUCAGCUAAGGUCCCAAAAUGUAUGCUAAGUGGAAAAGGAUGUGGAGAUGUACAGACAACUAGGAGGUUGGCUCAGAAGCAGCCAUCCUUUAAAGAGUGCGUAACAGCUCACUAGUCGAAUGACUCUGCGCCGAUAAUUUACCGGGGCUAAGCAUACUACCGAAGCUAUGGAUCCUGAGGGAUGGUAGGGGAGCGUUCCAUGAACGGAGAAGCGCGAUCGAGAGGACGCGUGGAGAUCAUGGAAGAGAGAAUGCCGGUGUGAGUAGCGGAACGUGGGUGAGAAUCCCACGCACCGAAAACCCAAGGUUUCCAGAGGAAGGUUCGUCCGCUCUGGGUAAGUCGGGACCUAAGGCGAGGCCGAGAGGCGUAGUCGAUGGACAACAGGUAGAGAUUCCUGUACUCAUAUAUAUGUGAAGGAAUGACGGAGAGAGGAAGCUGCAGCCAGCGGCUGGAAGAGCUGGUGCAAGCGAGAUAUCGGGAUGGCAGGCAAAUCCACCAUCCGAAACGAGAAGGCGUGAAGCGUACGGAAAGCUAAGGCGAGUACGGAAGGCAGUGGAGGAGCUUCCAAGAAAAGUUUCUAACGAAAGUAUAUGUGACCCGUACCGAAAAUGGACACACAUGGGUGAGGAGAGAAUCCUAAGGUGAGCGAGAGAACUAUAGCUAAGGAACUCUGCAAAAUGACUCCGUAACUUAGGGAGAAGGAGUGCUCAUAGAGAUAUGAGCCGCAGUGAAACGGCCCAAGCGACUGUUUACCAAAAACACAGCUCUAUGCUAAGUCGAAAGACGAAGUAUAUGGGGUGACGCCUGCCCGGUGCUGGAAGGUUAAGAGGAUGUGUCAGCGCAAGCGAAGCACUGAAUUGAAGCCCCAGUAAACGGCGGCCGUAACUAUAACGGUCCUAAGGUAGCGAAAUUCCUUGUCAGGUAAGUUCUGACCCGCACGAAAGGCGUAACGAUUUGGGCGCUGUCUCAGCUGUAGACUCGGUGAAGUCUUAGUACCUGUGAAGAUGCAGGUUACCCGCGACUAGACGGAAAGACCCCAUGGAGCUUCACUGCAGGUUGAUAUUGGGAUUUGAUGCAGCAUGUACAGGAUAGGUAGGAGGCAAAGAGAUGGAUACGCCAGUAUUCAAGGAGCCGCUGUUGGGAUACUACCCCUGUUGUAUUGGAUUUCUAACCGGACGACGUAAAGCCGUUGACGGGACAGUGUCAGUCGGGCAGUUUGACUGGGGCGGUCGCCUCCCAAAGAGUAACGGAGGCGCCCAAAGAUACCCUCAGCUUGGAUGGAAACCAAGCGCAGAGUGCAAAGGCAAAAGGGUGUUUGACUGCGAGACCCACAAGUCGAGCAGGGACGAAAGUCGGGCUUAGUGAUCCGGCGGUGCUGAAUGGAAAGGCCGUCGCUCAACGGAUAAAAGCUACCCUGGGGAUAACAGGCUGAUCUCCCCCA